UUGAUUCGAGCUCCGGCUCGACUCUCCCACCCAAUGUGUACCUACCUCUGUUGCUUUGGCGGGCCGCGGUCCUCCGCACCGGCGCCCUUCGGGGGGCUGGCCAGCGCCCGCCAGAGGACCAUAAAACUCCAGUCAGUGAACUUUGCAGUCUGAGAAACAAGUUAAUAAACUAAAACUUUCAACAACGGAUCUCUUGGUUCUGGCAUCGAUGAAGAACGCAGCGAAAUGCGAUAAGUAAUGUGAAUUGCAGAAUUCAGUGAAUCAUCGAAUCUUUGAACGCACAUUGCGCCCCUUGGUAUUCCGAGGGGCAUGCCUGUUCGAGCGUCAUUUCAACCCUCAAGCUCUGCUUGGUAUUGGGCUCCGUCCUCCACGGACGCGCCUUAAAGACCUCGGCGGUGGCGUCUUGCCUCAAGCGUAGUAGAAAACACCUCGCUUUGGAGCGCACGGCGUCGCCCGCCGGACGAACCUUU
rnacentral:rRNA from 2 species